UGAGUGGUCAGACACUAGAAAAAAAAUAUUUUGGAACUUAUGGAGUAGGAAAUAAUAAAGGUGGGACGGUUGGGAUGGGCCUCCAUCGCUCUCUUGAUGGCAGCCUCAAACUCAGGUGCCUCGUCUUUACGGAUUUAUGCCACCACGCUUGAAUCCAGAGAUGGCGCAGGAAGGGCAGGCCUCCCAGGAUCUCCAAGUCUUCCUCCCCAAUACGAUCAAUUCCGAUGCGCAGUUUCUCAAGGUUGACGAGUCGGGCCAUCCAUGUUGGAACCCGGACUAGUACCGAAGCAAUGACAAGUUCCCGAAGGCUGUACGGAGUAUCAGAUUCCGGGAACCAGUACUCACACUCAAAGAUCCUGCCUACCGUCAGGAGGGCUUGAAUGACCAAAGACUCGAGGCCAGCUUUGCUUAGUUCAGCUAUGGAAGAGACUAUCUUUGCAAAUUUCACAUCCCCAAGUAACGAAUCCGCUUCUUCAAUUUUUUCCAUCAUGUGGAACGUCCAGAAUAUUGUGUCCAGCACCCUUAGCUUUUUCAGCUGGCCAAGCCCUACGAGAAACUCAGUUGACUGUGCAAAAACAUUGAGACCGCGCAGCACUUGUAAUCCUUGCAUGGCUGUGGCUUCAUACAGUACUUUAGAGUUAAUGUCAGUAGAGGCCAACCAUUUGACCUGCCUGAUGGUCGCAGGAAUUUCCAUUAUUUUUUUGUGAUAGAGUAUGUCAAUCUCCAAGUGUGGUGCCCUUGCUACUUGUUCCGGAAGCUUUCUCAGGGCAUCUGCAUUCUUGAACCUCAGGUACUUGAGGUGCAACAAAUUGCCGAUACCCGCAAGGUGAUCAUCUUCCAACUGCGAGCAGUUUUCGUAGUCUAGAACACGCAAGAGUCUGGACUCCGACAGAGAUGGGAUCUUCGCAUUACGCCCAAAAACAUGGAGUGACCGGGCACUAGAUAUAACCAGACCCGCCGGAAUCUCACCAUCGUUCUGCAUAGACAACCGACGAACCUUGAUUCGUGGGUCGGGGUUUACACCAGGCACACCUAUUAUAGUAACAAAGUUCUCCUCAACAGCCCUGGAUACAAUGAAAUCAUGAACUGUGUCAUGAACUCGGCAGCUCUUCACCUCAUGACCGAAUGUCUUGUCUAGCUCUGCCGACUGGAUCAAGCUCCUGUUGAUGAGCUCGUUAAAGCACAUCUCUCCUGACUCAUGCAGUGUAUAACCCUCUUGCUUAUGAAUGAAUCCCUCUGCAAUCCAUCUCCUUAUCAAAUUCUCCUUAUUGAUAGUAUGAUCUUCUGGAAAUAUACUCAGAUACAGUAGACAAGUUUUAAGAUGACGAGGAAGAUCCAGGUAACUAAGAGAUAUUAUGUUUACCAUUACAUCGACGCUAGCAUUUCUUAGUGCACGCCCAAUUGAAUCCUUCACUUGCUCCCAUUUAUCCUUUUUACUUGCCUUGUCAGCCAACAAACCAGCGAUAGCAAUGAUCGCCAAUGGUAAACCAGCACAUUUUUCCAAGAUUUGGCUGGAAAUUUCUUUAAGGUCCAAAGGGCAUUUUUCUUCAGAGUCGAAUAGUCUUCCAUAGAAUAGUUGCCUCGAGUGCACCAUAUUAAGAGGCCUCAUAUUAUAUAUAUGGCCAAUGAAUGAUGAUCGGCAUGACUGAGCGACAACAUUUAUACGAGUGGUGGUGAUUAUUAUACUGCCAGAACCGGUUGUGGGAAAUGCACACUUAAUGACAUCCCAUGUUUCCACCUUCCAUAUAUCAUCAAUUACAAUAAAGUAUCUGCAAAUGAAAAUAAAUAAAUAUCAUGCUUGUUGAACACAAAAGACAGGUACGAAAAGAUGAAACAAUAGUUAACAAAUAGCCGCUCCUUUUCGAAGAAAAGAUAGUAACUCAAUUUUUUUACUCCCUCCGGCCGGAAGUACUUGUCAAAAUAUUACAUGUAUGUAGACGCUUUUUACACGUAGAUACAUCCAUACAUGAGCAAAUUUGAGUCAAGUAAUACCGGUCGGAGGGAGUAACACAUGGUGUAUUAGGUUUGGUUAAGGGUUAGUUGGACCUAUGCCACUCUAUUUCACCUGUUGGAGAUAUGCCAUUACAAAAACUUGACUUGAAGAAAUGCCAAUCUAACUUUCUUAUACCUCUAUCAAUGUCAUUCUGUCCACUUAAGACCAAUAAGUGUUCAUAAAAUACAUGUAUUUCAGCAUGUACAACAGUAUUUAACAUAAUACCCUUUACUUUGGUAGAUAUUUGUACAACCAGUCAAAACUGCGCCAUCAUGAAGAUAACUAUAUACUCCCUCCGUCCCGAAAUCCACGUCACUUAUUUCGAGACGGAGGGAGUACAUUACUUGUACAAACACUUUAACUAAAUAACAAAUGUAUUAAUUGCAACAACGGUAACAAAGUUUAGACAAUUAAGUUUGGAUGCCAUAGCAAGCUCGGACUCAUCAAACAAUAAGCCCACUGAAAAGCCAAUUAAGAAGGAUCUGAAGCAGUACCUUUUGUCGGUGAGGAAAUCCCGAAUCUUGGUGAUAAGUUGCGGCAAGUCUUCCUUGGCAGGAGAAGAGUAUCCCUUGUUCAACUGACUGAAAAUAUUACUCAUAACUCUGACGAUGUCUGGAUUCUAUGAUACGGACAGGAAAGCAUGGCAAUCGAACCCCCCUUUGAGCUCUUGAUACACUCGGUUUGCCAGAGUCGUCUUCCCCAAUCCUCCGGACCCAACGACGGCGACCAGCUUGAUCGGUUUCUGCUGCUGCGUUGGCUCGCCGUUGUCGGCCAACAGCUGGAUCACUUCAUCCUUGGGGCCAUCAAUACCGACCAGCUUGGACGCAUCCUCGAAAAUGGCAAGAGCUCUGCGGUCAAUCUGCAGCCAGCCCGGUUUUAUACCACGUAUCGUCAGAUUGAUCAUUGAUACGGAGUACAUCAAUAAAAAAAAAUUGCUACAUAUAUUGUUUUCCAAAAGAAGGAGCUUUGCCUUGGACUUGUUGGAGACGGAAGCGGAUGUUUCGCCGGAUCUGUACCUGGCAUUCCUCUGGCUCACCAACACGGCCUGCCUCUUCAGAUCCUCGAUGGCCUUGGCGAUUCGGUGUCGAUCCUUGGUCCGGCCCACCAAGCCCUUGAUCUUGCCCAUGAUACCGUGGUCAGAUCCAUCGUCACCGGCGGCGACGCGAGCCAUGAAGUCGUCGAUGCUGUCCUCGGUGUCGUAGGAGAGCUCCCGCACCUCCUUCAUCCAGGCCUUGUCCUGCGGGUCCUCAGGCUCCUCUUCCGACAUCUUCUCCAGGAAGGCGUCCAUGGCGUCGAGCUCGCGGGAGAGCGACUCGAUCUCGCCGCGGAUCCCCUUGAGGCGCUUGUACUCGUCGCCGGCCAGGGUCGCCAGCUUCCCCAGAACGGGUCCCAAGGCCCCCGUCGCCGCGCUCACCAGAAACUCCUCCAUGGCCGCUAAUCAAGGUCAGUGGACAGAGCAGCUUGCUUUUGCGUUUUGUAUGCAGUAAGUAGCUAGUGCAGGAUGAAUGGCUCAGCAAAAAUGCUCUUUUUAUUGGCUCCGCCAGCUAGUGUACUCGCUCGGACGAAUCAGCCCCUCCCACGUUCAUGGAGAUAAUGCUAGUACAGAAUUAUUAUUAUUAUUAUUAUUUAAAGCGAUGCUAGUACAGAAUUGGGUUGGAUUCUGUGUCAAGUUUACUGCAGUCUCUGUAUUUCACCCCGCGCUGUGGACGAGAUUUGGUUAGAACCAGGAGACGAUGCUAGUACAGAAUUUUUCACAGUUUAGAUUGUUUCUUCUUCAACUUCCUCCAUGUACUAUAAAAAGGGCGAUUUGGUUGGACCCAUGAACAAUUCGGGUUCGCUGUUGUGCAUCUAUGGUGUUUGAUGCAAUGCACAUAUGAGCUUUUUCAAGUGUUUCAAGAUGCUAUGAGUUUUUUUUAUUUGAUCCACAGAUGCAUUUUUUAUGUAUAUUUUCAUUCCAAUGAGAGUACGCAGAUUAACAUACAACAACUCAUGCACAAGCCCCAAAUCAAGAUGAGAGAUCAGCCAUACAUAUUAUCUCACCUCUUGUUGGAUAACUAACAUAUAUACUUCUUCCGAUCCAUAAUAAGUGUUUCAGAUUUAGUACAGAUUUGUACUAAAAGAGACACUGAUUAUGUAUCGUACUACGUAUUGGAGUGGUGGUAUGACCGAUUGCAUGUAGAUGACAUCAUCCAUAUUUUUUUCUUACAACUUAACAUACAUAUUAUUGUUGAAGACGCCCUUAGAACGCUCAUACCCGGCAAAAUCAUUCCCAGUAGUUUAAUUCCGAAAUUAUUUCAAGCUAAGAGUAUGCAUCGUCUCACAUGAACCCCACAUGCGUGCCCGGUACCUCGAAAACUCAAUUUUCCGGGUCCAAUGCCUACCAGAGCCACUUGGACCAAUGACACAUCGACACUUAGCCAUACAUGUACAAGUGUGUUAAUGAAUUGUCAAUCAUAUAGACGGUACCAGACCUGUACUCCUCCAAGUAAAAAGGGAGUAUCGAUCAGGUAGCGUUAUUUUGUCCAAUUCACCUCUUUAACAGUUUUUAUUCCUCGUAAUCCAAGUUUAUGAUGUAAAAACAACUAUCUGUAUACUCAAAAACUAUAUUUAUUAGAGCUUUUCUAUAGUACCCCAAAUUAAUAUAAGCCCUCUAUUUUUUCAAUCUAAUGGUUCAGAUUGUCUGUUACUCAAAAACUAUAUUUAUUGAGUUUUCUUAUUUGAUCCACAUAUGCAUACUCUUUGCCAUUUAUUAAUACAUCUUUGUGUUAGAUUAUAACUCUACCACCCUUGUUUUUCGAGUGAUACUCCAUAUAUAUCUAGCUCUGUUAGAAUAUUAGAGGGUAUUGAUUAAUUAAAUUGGACCUGGCCUUAGAUCAAAACAAUGGACGGCUUACAAAUCAUCCAGGGUGCCGUAAAAGUUCUCAGAUUCAAAUUUGGCUGUCUGUAUCAAUAACUACACAGCAUCCGGUGUCCGGCGGUGGCAGCGACGGCGGGCCAGCAGCUGUCCGCCACCACGUCGUAGAUGAUCAGCUAGCCCGUACGUACGAGCGUCGAGGCGCAGCACAGGGUCACUGAGCUAUCUGUAUUAAUUACAAAUCGAUUCAGACACGUUAAUUAAGACGUGGUUCACGCCCUAUGUACUACAGUACAGUACUACGUUUACGUGCACUGCGCUGGAGACCGUCAGUUGGUUAUCUUUCUCUUUCUCUGCCAGCCGACCGUCUUUAAGAACGUGUCUACCAUCGUUACUCAUGGCGAUGGCAGUUGGCAUUUGUUGUAGCAGCUCAGCUUGGGGUAGGAGCUGCAAUUAAUAUUGCUGGGCCAGGACCAUAUAUAUGGUUACAAGAUCAUUCCAGAGUAAAAUCUUUUUAACAGUAUUGGUAAUUAAUGUUAACUUAUGCAAGGCAAAAUCAUUCAAACAGUAAAAUACACCUACUUUGUUAUGGUGGCACGCUGAGAAGUGUAAGCUAUGGUCGUCGUCGAAGUUGCUGAAGAGUAGGUUGUAAUUUUAUUCUCGGAAUGUCUAAGUUAGUCAUAUAAUUGUGAAAAUGUUCAUUCUUGACCUAAUGCAUGCCAUGCUCCGGCUGAGGAGGAUCCCGGGUUGAUGAUCCGGAGCGGCGGCAUGUGAGAAAGAAGAGGAGGAGCCGGAGCCACCGUCCAGGUAGGGGUGCCGUCCAGCCGGUGGUGGAGGUGGAGGAACGCCGCUGUCGAACCGCGGCUCGUUGCCGGUGGCGAUGUGCGCCCAAGCCCGACCGGGGGGGGGGGGGGGGGUGUUGGUUUGCAGGCCUAGAUGUUAUGUACAGUACUGUAUGGGUCUGAUCCAAGAAGACUUUCCCAAAUCCUAGCUAAUCGAUCGACCAAUCUCCUCGUUCUAUUACGUAACUUUCGUGUAUUGCCAACUCUUGACAGAUUGACUUGCCCCGGUCACGCACGCCGCAUCUCCUUCUUCUCUCUUGCUGACCUGCAUCGCCAGACGCCCUGCGCCGUGCCUCUGCAUUCUGCCCAAGCCCAAUUUCGCCGGUUCACCCUCGUCCCUCGCCACCCCCUGUCUCCUGCAUCGCCUGAUCGUCCUGCCCCUGCGUUGCCCCGACAACUGGACAAGCUGAGCCAUCUUUAGUACUCCCUCCAUCUAACAAAAGAUGUCUCAACUUUGUUAAAAUUUGGAUGUAUCUAGACAUGACUUAGUGUAUUGAUGCAUUCGAAUUUAGUUAAAGUUGAGACAUCAUUUGUUGGACGGAGGGAGUAUUUAAUUUUUAUAUAUUUAUGCUAGUCUUUAAUUUGUAAGUUUAUCUAGUCUCGUUAGAUUUCAGAAAUACAAAUCCAUUAUCAUCUAGAAAGUUAAUUGGUUUUUCAACUUUAUCGCUUUAUACGUUGAGAAAAAAUUGAUGGAUGAGAUUGAUACUCAUAGCAUCAGCAACAACUUUGCAUCAAGAAAUUUUAAAAAAAAGAUAAUAUGUAUAAAUUGUUUGACAUAAAUAUAACUUUUGAUGCAUUCUUUGUAUUUGUUGAUGAAUUUUCAUAUGCAUAUAUUUAUUUGUAAGUAUCAUAUUUAUAUUAAGGGCCUGACGUGUUAAUUUCACACCGAAAUCUCAAGACCGGGCCUCAAGGAACCGCCCGGCCGGCUGCUGCAAGAAGACGCCGACCCGGGAUAUUGUUCCGCACCGUCGGUUGCGGCAGAUCGCGGACGGCGCGGCGGUGUGCUCUAACGAAAAGUUUCCGGAGCGGAAAAGUUGCAGAUUAUUAGCCGAGGUCGGUCGUGUCCUGCGGAGGAACCUAUAUGUUGACCCAACACUGUAGUGUCUUUUUGUUUUCAAGCGCGGCGUCGUUGAUUCCCUUGGGCCAGGAAGAAGAGAACAGCGCGUCUUCAGUCAAGACACAGGACGACACGUCCAUAUCGACUGUUUUGCGUGCUCGGGAAGGUGUCUCUGGCUUUGCAGGAUAGACAUAUAUAGAGUGUGAAAAUCAAGAACGCGCUGCAUCGUCUGAAAAUCGGCGCCUCCGCAAAAAAAGCACGCAAAGUACCUACCUACGUCCUGCGGGCAUGUCGUCAGAGUCUAGUGGUAGUAGCUAGUAUAGAUUUUAGACAUUUGACACCCGUGGGCACAGAUCAUCUUCCCUCUCUGCUAAAGCUAUCCAUGAGCAGAAAAGUCAACAUUUUGUCUUGAAAACUUGGUUAAUUGAAACCAAGGACAAACAAACGUAAAUGGACCAUGCUGUAAAAAAAACAAAUAACGUAAAUGGACCAAGAAACGUAGACACUCCAAAUGAGCGUCUCUUGUUUUUAGAUUCAGAUGAAGCACAGAUUAGUGAACAGAAGCCGCGUAGAUAGACGGCCGGGCGGCAGGUUGAAGGUCCAUUGUAAUUAGCGAGAGAACUGGACGCGUACUAGCUAGUGAUCCUAGCUAGUUUUAAUGCAACAUUUCCCACCAACACCUUUCAGUGUGGAGUAUCUCAUACCAAACGGUUCCACUGUGUCUGAAGGAAACCAAGCCACGCAGGCAUGAUCAGCAUCUGCAGGUAAUUAAGUACUUUCCCCUCCUCUAGACUCUAGUCUAGUAAAACGACGGUUGAACACAUUGCUGGCUCACUACCUAUAUAUCCGGACAAUUAAUCCAUGUAUAUAGAGUGGAAUCGAUCGAUUCGGCCACAGGUUUGAUCCAAACAGACAAGAAUAAAUAUUCCUAUGGCAGCAUGAUUUAAAUAAUGCGGCCACUAGCAGUAAUAGUACGUACUCACUCUGAUCCUAAAAUAACUGUGUAUAUUUUCUGGGAGAAAUCGACCUACUUACUCAACAUCGCGUGUGCAAACGAAUUCUUCCGUUGCUCGAAUAUCUGAGAUGAUCAUCAACGACCAUCGCGGAACUCGUCGAUUCGGCAUGGCAUGUACACGAAAGAAGAAUGGAAGCUCUCAUGUUCAUUAGCCAACUCUUUGAAACUAGCAUACUCCUUGGGGUAUAUGUUUCCCAAUACUUCCAUCUCCGAGCCAUUCAAGUGAUAGGCUAGUCCCGUCUGGAACGAUUCGCUCAAGAAGAUAAUCUCUUUAAAUGGGUGGAACCCGAGUAUCUUCGUAUCCCCGUAGAAGUACUCUUUGGCUUUGCGAUCUCCAUCGUCAAGAGAAUUAUCGUUGUUGGAGUUCCAUUCAGACUUUUUUUGGAAUGUCACUUUCUCCAUGUCAUCCAAUAAGCAACAAUCUUCAACCAUGCAUCCGUUUCCAAGUGCGCCAUCAUUGGCAAAGUUCAUAUUGAUAUUUUCCACAACUAUUGCUUUCUCUUUGUCUUCCGAGUAGAUAUCUUCAACCAUGCCUUCGCUCUUAACACCAUCAUGACCGGUGUCCCAGUUCUCAUUGUCUUCCAAGUAGAAAUUUUCAACCACGUCUUCACUUAUAACACCAUCGUGAUCAAUGUCCUGGUUCUCGUUUUCCUCCAAGAAGAAAUUUUCAUCCAUGUCUUCACUUCCAACACCAUCGUACCCAUUGUCCUGCUCCCACUCUAACUUCUCUUGAGCCAUCGUUUUCUUGUCGUCUUCAGGAAAACGAAAUAAGUUAUAGUUAAUAUCUUCUAAAACCCAAGGACCAUGACCGUGAAGCGGGCGGUCUGACAAGUAUGGCUCUAGCAUGGGCUUGAGGUCAUUUUCAUGCUUCAAAAUCCACUCAACCUCACCACAGCACUCCUUAAGGAUCCAAACCCGAAGCCAGCCUUCACAAAUCCAUGUAAAGUACACUCCUUUUUCGGAUCUUCCCAUAUCAAGUUGUAUAUAGCCCUCCUUCCCCCUAGUAUCCACCGGUGUCUUGAUUACACGAUACGAUUAUUGGCAAAGGAUAUCCUGCAUGCAAAAAGUCAAAUUAUUAUGCAAAAGAAGUUUAAUUAUCCAGAAACAUAACCAAUACUACGCACCUCAUGAUAUGAUCAGCCAUGCAAUGUAUAUAAAGCGUCCCUCGCAGAUAGGCGGCAGCGCAACGCGACCAGCCCACCCGCAGCUUCUCAAGGGUCCCGGUGGCGCCCCCUUGUCGGACGAAAGACCUCUCCUCCCAGCGACCCGACCUCGACGAGAACACAUGCAUCUUGCACGGAGACGGCGGCCACUGGAGCCCCUCCAUCCCCAUCGUCACAAGCUUGUCGUGUGCAUCGUCGUCCAUGUCCGUCAGCAUCAAGCACGGGACCAUCAACACCUCGAACUCCGGCGACACCGUCGGAUCGUAGACCAGGAACCGGUCGUAGUACCACACGCCAUGAUUUCUUGGUAGUUCUUCCUUGGCCGGGCUCGCGGGCAGAUCGGUCCACCACCCCGUGGCAGGGUUGACUACCCAUUGAGGAAGCUAGGAGGAGGAGCCCGUUGCAGUGGUGGUCGACGAUGUAGUCGUAGAAAUCGGCGGUGUCGUCGACGCACCAGUGGACGAAGCUGUCUGGGUUGCCGGAGAAUUUGGGUUGGCGCGGCGGAGGAAGUCGGGCCCGGCCAAAGAAGAAGCGUUCCGAUCGGCCGCCAACAUCUUAUAUACUGAGGGGUUCCGAUCGGGCCUCUCCCUCGUGCGGGCUGGGCCUCCAUAAGCCUGUGAAAGAACCGGCCCAUUGUAUUUACUAGUCGCAGUACUGAUUUGUGCCUGUUUGGUGGAUUUUUGGGCCUUUGCGGGCCCUUGGAGGUGGUUACGCACAAAUUAAUGGUCCAUCAAGAAAUCGGCAGCUCAUACUGUCGGUUUUGUUUUUACCGCGCUUAUACUGUCGGGUUAAAAAGAAAGAAAGACGGCAGCUGCUGUCAAAAAAAGAAAAGAGACGGCAGCUUGAUCCAUCGAGCUAUAAAUUUGCACGGUUCAUCCGUGAGUAGCAAAAUUUCACUAGCUACACCGUGACAUGACAAUUAAGAAAAUGACCGUAUUGUUUUUAAAUUCAGACAGGCAGAUCAUAGAUUUACUUACUUUAACUGCCUCCCCGGCCACUUACUACUACUGCUGCCUGAUGCUCCAUUAUUUUGAUCGAGAUGGACGGCCGGCCGAAGGUGAUCAAUUGAAUGGAUAAGCAACAUUUCGCACCAACACUUUUCAGUCCAGAGCGUCACAUCAAACGGUUCCCAUGUCCGCAACUAAUUUAGCCCAUUCAUGAUCAAUAUCUGCAGACUGCAGGUAAGUGCUUUAGAAGAUGCAUGGACCAUCAGUAUUCACAAACCGGCCAAUGGGAGUGCAAGAAGCCAGCGACAGCGAGCUACACUAGUGCAAGAAAGUAAGGUCUGUUUACUUUUUCCUCCUUUGGCUUCAGAGAAUAGACCAAGCGUUAAUCCAAUUACCUGGUCUUGAAUCCUGACAUUUCGAAAACGGACAAUGUUUCUGGCGGACAAUUCAUUUUCGGACAUGAAACAGUCCAGCCUAAAAGUGAUAGUUGCAUUCUUAUGAGUCCAUAACAGACCAGUCCAGCCCCAUCCAUUUCCCAACAAACACUUGAAGCUGACAAGCUGCACUCACAUAACGUUCAGAUUUCAGAUAGGCAUGAAUGCAUAACAUUUCCACCGGCACAUUUCUGUCCGUAGCAUCAACGAGCUUAAGUAAUAACGUAACUUGAGACAGUCACCACAAGUACGAUCGUUUGCACAAAACUAGAAAAGUGGCAAGAAAACAUAUAGGCACUUUCCAGUAUCAGGGUUGAUGUUUAAAGACAAGAAAACAUACAUGAAUGAUUGGAUAUCAGACAACCUCAAGCAAACAAAGAUGUAACAAUGGAAGACAAGGUGAAAUGUUUAAAGACAAACAAAAGAGGACUCAACCACCAUUAAGGUGAUGCACUUUCCUCGGAAUAGUGGAGUGAGUAAAGGUGGGACGGUUGGGAUGGGCCUCCAUCGCUCUCUCGAAGGCGGCCUCAAAAUCAUCGUUUGGGUCGAUUCGACCCCACAGCCGACUAAUGUGGAGGUGGCGUAGGCCAGGCAGGCCUCCCAAGAUCUUCACAUCUUCCCCGACAUGAUUAAUUGGGAGGCGCAGUUUCUCAAGGUUGACGAGUGAGGCCAUCCAUGUUGGAACACCCCAGAGUCCCUUCGCAACAAUGACAAACUCCUGAAGGCCGUAUGCAGAUGGAGGAUCAGAUUCGGGAAACCAAUCCUCCUUCAAUAUCUCGUCUGCUGGCCCGUUGAUGCGAAUUUUCAAAGACUGGAGGCCUGCUUUGCUUAGCUCCGCAAUGGAAGAGACCACCUUCGCUGGCUUCACCGCCCAGUCUUUAUAUUCGAGACCAACGGAGUCGAAUAUUAAGCUCAGCUUCCUUAGGUUUUUCAGCUGGCCAAGCCCCACGAGAAACUCAGUUGACUUUCUAUAAACAUCGAGACGGCCGAGCACUUGUAAUCCUUGCAUGGCUACGUCUUCGUCUGGCACUUCAGCGUCACGAAUGGACAACCAUUCAAGCUGCCAGAUAGUGGAUGGAAUUUCUAUUAUUUUGUUGUAAUCCCGUAUGUCAAUCCCCAACUGUGGUAGCCUUGCUACUUGUUCCGGAAGCUUUGUCAGGCCAUCACCUGCAUAGUUGAACCUCAGGUACUUGAGGUGCAACAAAUUGCCGAUACCUGUAAGGUGACCAUCUUCUAACUGAGAGCAGUCUUCGACCAUCUUCUAACUGAGAGCAGUCUUCGUAGUCUAGAACACGCAACAGUCUGGACUCUGACAGUGAUGGGAUCUUCGCAUUAGGCCCAAAAACAUGGAGUGACCGGGCACUAGAUAUAACCAGACCCGCUGGGAUCUCACCGCCAUUCUGCAGAGACAACCGACGAACCUUAUUCCGUGGAUUAGGAUUUACACCAGGUACACCUAUUAUAGUAACAAAGUUCUCUUCAACAGCCUUGGAUACAAUAAAAUCAAGAACCGUGUCAUGAACUCGACACGGUUGCUGGCUGGAUCAAGCUCCUGUUGAUGAGCUCGUUGAAACACAUCUCUCCUGACUCAUGCAAUGUACAACCAUCUUGCUUAUGAAUGAAACCCUCACCAAUCCAUCUCCUUAUCAAAUUCUCCUUAUCGAUGGUGAAAUCUUCUGGAAAUAUCCUCAGAUACAACAGACAAGUUUUAAGAUGACGAGGAAGAUCCCAGUAACUAAGAGAUAUUAUGUUUACCAUUACACCGUUGCUAGCAUUUCUUAGUGCACGACCAAUUGAAUCCUUCACUCGCUCCCAUGUAUCCUUUUUACUUGCCUUUUCAGCCAACAAACCAGAUAUAGCAAUGAUCGCCAAAGGUAAACCAGCACAUUUUUCCAAGAUUUGACUGGAAAAUUCUUUAAGGUGCGAAGGGCAUUUUUCUUCAGAGCUGAAUAGUCUUCGAUAAAAUAGUUGUCUGGAGUGCACCUCAUCAAGAGGCCUCAUAUUAUGUAUAUGGCCACUGAAUGAUGAACAACAUGACUGAGCGACAAGAUUUAUACGAGUGGUGGUGAUUAUUAUACUGUCAGAAUUGCUUAUGGGAAAUGCAUACUUGAUAUCAUUCCAUGUUUCCACCUUCCAUAUAUCAUCAACUACAAUAAAGUAUCUGCAAACAAAAAUGAAUAAAUGUUAUGCUUAUUGAACACAAAGACGUACCUCUCUUUAUUAAUACGUGGCUUAUUAGGUUUCGCUAAAAAAGGUUUUUGACCAAGAAUUGCUUCGCUAAUAUGUAAUUUAUAUGAUAUAAAACCACCAUUAUCAGUAUGUACUUUUGAAGGCAAAUCUAGAGAUACAAAUUUCAUGUCAUAAAAAUCACAUGUCAACAAAGUAAUUUUUGGUCAAUGCCUUGUCUUGAAGAAACCUAAUACACCACAUAUUAAGAAAAUAAGGGAGUAUACUUUAGUUUGGUACAUUAAAGGGGUCUUACUCUUUUGAGAUGUCCACUCGACUCAAAUUCUAGAGCUAAUAUCAUCGGAAAUAACCUAUGUUUUGCUAAUAUCAUCUCAAACAAUUAAACCUUGCCAACACGACAUACUGUAGAGAAAGAAAAUGCCCCCUCCGAAUGGAACUAUUCCUCCUACCGAGCUUAAUUUGAAUGGUUAGGAAAUUAACACUAAGGAUAACAAUCUCUACAAACUUCAAAAAAAUCACUCAGGAAAAACAACAUACUCCAAUCCAAUUGGAGUGAACAGUUAACAGUCUGAACUACGAUCCAAGGGGAGAAGCAAUGGCCAACUUCAAGUAAAGAGAUCAACGAGCCAGAUUGGAGGGUAUCCAGUAUUUUUUUUCAGACAGUUAACAAUCUAUCUUCUUGUUGUCGUCAGUUUUACCAUUUGAAUAAUGGAUUUUCACCGUAAUGAUUGUUUUCCUUGGUCCCGUUAGCCAUAGCCAGUCAUUUAAGACAAGUAUAGAACCCCAAGGGCUGUGCAGUCUAAUGAAUUAAAAAUAUACUCGUAUAUAUUACUUGUACAAACACUUAAGCUAAUGUAUUAGUUGCAACAACGGUAACUAAGUUUAGCCAAUUAAGUUUGGAUGCCAGAGCAAGCUCGGUCUCAUCAAACAAUAGGUCCACUGAAAAGCCAAUUAAGACGGACCGGAAGCAGUACCUUUUAUUUCUGUCGCUGAGGAAAUCCCAAAUCUUGGUGAUAAGUGUCGGCAAGUCUUCCUUGGCAGCAGCAGAGUAACUCUUGUUCAACUGACUGAAAAUUUUACUCAUAACACUUACAAUGUCUGAAUUCUGCGACACGGACAAGAAAGCAUCGCCAUCGAACCCCCGUUUGAGCUCUUGAUACACUUUGUUCGCCAGAGUCGUCUUCCCCAAUCCUCCGGACCCAACAAUGGCGACCACCUUGGGUGGCUGCUGCUUUGUCUCGCCGUCGUGCCCCAACAGCUGGACCACUUCUUCCUUGGGUCCAUCAAUGCCGACGAGCUUCAACGCAUCUUCAAAAAUGGCAAGAGCUCUGCGGUCAACCUGAAGAACAGGCCCGGUUUUAUGCAUCAAUAAAAAAAAAAUUAAUACUCCCUCUGUUCCAUACUAAUUGGCACGGAUUUAGUACAAGUUGCCAACGGAGGGAGUAGCUAUUUUAUCCAAAAGACGAGCUUUGCAGUCAACCUUGGACUUGUUGGAGACGGAAGCAACAGGCUCGCCAGACCUGUACCUGGCAUUCGUCUGGCUCACCUCGUCGAUCUGUUUCUUCAGAUCCUCGAUGGCCUUGGCGAUUCGGUGGCGAAGCCCUUGAUCUUGCCCAUGAACCCGUCGGGCCUUGCAGCGGAUUCAUCGCCGGCGGCGACGCGAGCCAUGAAGUCGUCGAUGCUGUCCUCGGCUUCGUAGGAGAGCUCCCGCACCUCAUUCAUCCACACCUUGUCCUGCAGGUCAGGCUCCCCCUCCGCCUCCGACAUCUUCUCCAGGAACGCGUCCAUGGCGGCGAGCUCGCGCGAGAGAGAAUCAAUCUCGCCGCGGAUCCCCCUGAGGCGCUUAUACUCGUCGCUGGCCAGGGUCGCCAGCUUCCCCACAACGGCCCCCAAGGCCCCCGUCGCCGCGCUCACCAGAACCUCCUCCAUCGGCGCUAAGGUCAGAGCACAGACCAGUGGCUAGCUGGUGCAGGAUGAAGGGAUGCUCCUUGCUCCUGGCACAAUAAUGUUGCAACUCUUGAUUAGCUAAACUCGGGCACGAGACUCGCACUCGCGGAGUAUACAAUAGAAUUUCUCUGCCAGCUAGCAAGCUAUGCAUGUGCAGCAAAGUGCAUGAUUCCACAUCGGAAGAUGGAAGGAUUUAAUUAAUGUACCUCACGUUCAAUGGAAGAAAUACAGACUGAGAUGCCCUUGUUUCUUCUAAAUUCAGACUGCUCCUCCCAGGAACGAUCGAUACGCAGUAGUAAUUGAGAUGGAUGCACGACACAGAAAGUCAACGAGCGGCCUGCAGGAUAUUCACCCAGAAGUAAAAUUCUUGCAGGAUGGACACGAAGCUCGCCGUCGACGAGCCACCGGAUCUGUCUCGGCUCGGGCUCGAACCCAGCUCGGUCCGGCGCGAGAGCUGGCCCAUGGCUACCGGCGGCGCGGCGAGCAAGGGGGCAGGCAGCAGCACUCAUGGGGGAGCGCGGAGGAGUGACGGCGGUAGGCGGCGGCGGCGUCUUCGGCCUACCGAAGCCCGUCACCCUCAGCGACGGCAAGAAAUCCAGCCUGUUGGCCGCCGCCGCCGUCCGGGCUUCCUUCAUCACCACGAACCAGCGCACCUCGUCUUCCCCCAUCUGACAUCGAUGCCGCCUUCACGCCGACCAUUGCGGUCCCUGCACGGCGGCGGCGCGGCGGGGGUGGCGCCAGAGCGGGCCGUAGUUGGACAUGGCGAAUGGAAGGCGUCGGCGGCGAAUCGAGGCUCGAGUGGACUUCGCUCGCGGCUGGUGUGGACUGUGGAGUAUCUGGUAGCUCAGGCUGGGCCAAGGCCCAAGGCCGACCGUGAGAUUUCGACUGUGGGCCUUAAUUUCCGCGCCGGAGCUCGAAGGUGGAGGCCCACGAAUCGCCGGCAGAGGCGCACGAGAGUAAAUUACAAAAAACCACCUCGUUACGGACUAGAGUUUCACAUGGGUACCGGUUUACGUUUCAGUUGCUAAAAACCACCGGAUUAGCAUAACCCCUCGCUUGCUAGCGUCUAAUCACGUUUCUGACAAGUAUGACCCACCGGUCAGUCCAACAUGACGUCCAUCGUGCCAUUCUCUUCUUCCUCCAUGCACUCCCUCCCUGUUCCCGUCGCAACGGGGGCGAGCAGCGGCGUGCGGCGCGAGCGGAGGAGCGACUGCGCCCAGGGAGCAGCGGCACGAGCGGAGGCAAGCAGCGCACGGGCGAGCGGCGGCCAGCAGCGACGACGCACGGGUGAGCGGUGGGCAGUCCCUGCAGAACCUGCAAUCACCUUCCCCGUUGGAGUUGAGGAUAGAGGCGCACCAGAGAAAGAAUGGACGGGAGAGACGACUCGACAGCGAGUCAAAUAGCCCAUCAGCUGACGUGGCACCAGCUAGGACCUGACAUGUGGGCCCGUCUCGUCAGUUUCGGGAUUAGACGCUAGCAACAGAGUUGUUAAGUAAAUCCGGUGGUUUUUAGUAACUAAAAUGUAAACCGGUACCUAUGUGAAACCCUCGCCAGUAAUGUGGUGGUUUUCGGUAAUUUACUCGGCGCAUGAAUCAACGAUGGCGAGACGAAUCAAAGCCCGAACCGGCGGCGGCCCUAAUUUCCGGGCGGGGGAAUGGACGAAUGGGGCCACGGGAUCGUUUCUUUAUUUCCAUCCCCGUUCGGCACCGGCGGAAUUGGGCCGGGGCCUCCAGGGACGUGCCCGGCGGUGGCCGGAGAUGGCCGCGGCCGGCGAUUUUGGAGGUGGCUGACUAGAUUUGGGGAGAGAGGCCCAUGAAAAAUUAUGAUGGGACUUCAGGCCCAUGUGCGUUUGGGCUUUCCUGGUCAUGAUCAGAAUUGGGCCCUGGCGCUGUAGCUACGUGAACGGUGGUCGCCUACUAAAAAAAACGAACGUUGGUCUCGACUAAGAAAAAAACCGGUGCAACGGGAACGAGGCGACUCGUAUUUAGUCACCUUAUUUUAUAUGACAAGAAAUUCGUGUCAAUUUUGGUUAUUACUGAAACCGAACCGAGAUUUUAUAGGUUAUAACCGAACAUGAACCGCAUUUUAAUACGAAACCGUAUUAACAGUAGUAUAGAAACCGUAUUAACCAGAUCAAAAACCGAAUGCACACCCCCUACAGUGAGCAGUUUUUUUCCGGAAAGGGGAGAAACCUAAUGUGAGCAUUGUGUAUUGUCAUCUCUGUGUGGACGGACUGAGACCUUGAAAAACGAUUAACACAUCCCUAACCUUGUUUGUUAUUAGACACAAAUUAACUGUUGAAAGAGGUUCCUUCUCAACUUGGUUAUCACCCCAGGUCGAUACAACAUGAAAAGCAUGGUAUUCAUGCUUGACGCGUUCCAUCUUUAUUUUGUCAGGGGACAUGUAGCUCUACUGAGCUUGAUGACCAUUUUGUUGCUAUCUUUAUUCGUUAGCUCCAAACCAAGCAAGGAACCAUGCUUCAUGUAAAGGUAAAGGUAAAGGUAAAAGAAAAGGCAAAGCCCCAUGUCCCAUGGCGAAUCAAGUUCCGAGUGCAGCACUGCAGCUUGCUAGAGCAUUGGGAGUCGUUCGUCAUUCUGUUUGCUUGUUUCCUCACCUCUCUUCACUCUUCAUCUCGCCUGCCUGCUACGAGCUUCAACCAACGUAUAUGUGAAUUAAGGUACUUCCUCCGCCGCAUGCAUGCAUGGGUAUUAAGGCAAUUGUUUAUAAUAAAACUUCCUUGCGUAGAAAAUAAUCUCUUGAGGUCCCGUUCAAUACACCCCUCUUCAAACUCGGAAACUCGGAAGGUUACGACGUUUUUUUUAUGAUUUUCCUUAUUCUUUCUCUAGUUCUUUUGCCGCCUACUAUUUUCUUUCUCAUGCCUUCUUUCUCUCUACCAAGGGAUCUGUCGCCUCAAGAAUUGUUUCGGCGAUCCCUCCGGUGAGCCUGUGCGGAAUUGUGUCUACUAUGAUGCUGUAAAAUUUAAUCGCUAUCCGACGGUCAAAUCUCUGGCCAAUUCCAAAAUACCGAGUGUUGUUCGGAUUUCUCGCGGCUGUGCCUGAUAGCACGAGUGUCUGAAUUGUUCGCCGGUUUCCCGCUGAUUCAAGCAUUUUUUCCGGCGAUCCGUUCGGUGGAAUUGUGUGAAAAAAUUUCUACUACCACAACGGGAAAUUUCAGCGCGAUCCAACGGUAGAAUCGCUAGGAAACUUCAAAACACGAGUACUGUUUGGAUUGCUCGCGACCGUGCGGGACAGCACAAACAUGCAACUUGUUCGCAUGUUUUCCGCUGGCUCAAGGAAUGUUUCGCUGAUCCCUUCGGUGGGAUUAUGCGGAAUUGUGUCUACUGAUACAAUAUGAAAUUUCAUUGCGAUCCAACGGUGGAAUCACCCGAAAUCUUCGAAACACCGAGUGUUGUUUUGAUUUCUCGCGCCCCUGCAUGACAGCACGAACAUCCGACUUGUUCGCCUGUUUCCCGCUGGCUCAAGAAAGUUUUCACCGAUCCCUUCGGUGGGACUGUGCGGAAUUGUGUCUACUACUACCUCGUGAAAUUUGGUGACGAUCCAACGGUGAAAUCUCCGAUAAAAUCGAAAACACCGAGUGAUGUUCGGAGCUAGGCGAACAGGAGAGAAGGAAAUAAGUUUAAUGCCCAUCGUGCCCUUUUUUAUGAAGGGGUACGGAGUGAUCUGGACCGUUUUGUGUUUUUCGUAAGAGAAGGGUGGGUGUAUUAAAUCAGAAGUCUAAUUUCUUGGGGUUUGGAUUUUUUUUUAAAGAUCAGAUCGGGAGGAGCAGAUGGGAUUCAUACAUUUUCUUUUGGUCCGUAGAGGAGCUUGAGGAGGGGUAUGCCUCUCUUCUCUAAAAGCGGCCGUUUUGCCAUUUACCAGAAGAUUGUUUAGCAUUUCUCUGUGCUGUGUGCGGGCAGAAGAUUAAAAAUUUUUUAGGCCAGGCAGAAGAUUAAUUACUCCGUAGCAUUUGUAUCCUCUUAUCGAAUUUCAAGCAAGCACUACUUCACUACUUGGCAGGCGCUGCUGCGGAUGGCGCAGGCGCAGAUGGUGGCGCUGAUGGCGGUGAUGGCCGCGAUGUUGAAGCGGCAAAACAAACAGCAAACGCGUCCGCGGGAGGUGAGUUGUUGCUUCUUUCACCAGAUCUUUUAUAUCCAAGUCGAAACAACCCACUGCUUGAUUUUUUUAAACAUGCAGGCAUGCCACAUCAUCACAUAAUUAAUUUGUUCACACCUAUUUGGUGCAAAACUCAUAAUUUUGCACAUGCAUGCAUGUUAUUUCCAUCAAGCUAUUUCAAAUAUGUGAAGAAUGUACAAUUUUAUUAUAUGUUUUCAAAUUUGAAUACUCCUUUUAUGUUAACUAAAAAUUUCCGCAACAACGUGCGGGGUAUCAUCGAGUAUAUGUAGUCAUAUGUACAUUUGUGACGUAUAGUUCUCAAAUACAUCCCUUGAUUUUCUUAAUAAAGCUCUGUAAGUCAUUCUUUACUACUACCUCCGAUCCAUAUUAAUUGUCGAAAUAUUAUAUGUAUCUAGAUUAUUUUUAUGCAUAGAUACAUCCAUAUUUGGACAAAUUUGACACAACUAGCAUGAUGUCUCGCGCAAUUGCGUGGGAAACAUUUUUAAUCAUCUUAAUUUUCUAACCGAUUAUAUGUAUUUUCUAUUAUUCAUACAAUAUGUCGUUAGGAAUAGAUGAUUAAUCAACCCAGAUAUAUAUGUAGAAAAGCAGAACUAAUUGAUAUUAGAACUCUUAGAAGUACUAUGUUUUUAAUUGACUUUAUAUUAAAAUAUAGAACUAAACGUUGAUCAACUUUUGCAUUAGACUGAUUGAUUGUCCGUAGAUUAUAUAACUUAGUAUAGGUACUUGAAGUUCAGAUCGCCUAUUGACCGCUUGUCUUUAACUGAGAUAAUCGAUCAUAUGUGGCGUACGUCACAUUUGUAACAAAAAUUCAAAUUCAAACGUGAAAUUGAUGGAUUGGUUGUUUGCACGGGUAAUCGUGUGUAGUUGAUUAUGUUAGUAGGUUGAAUGUCCGUGAUAGUGAAUCAUAAUGCAAUAUUAAAGUUUUACUUGAUUGCUCUAUCGAUACUCGGAUUAAAGUUUAAAUCAUUUGAGCGAACUAUUAGUAACUCGUCCUUGAAAAAAAAUCACAAUGAAUAGAGCUAGUGUUACUACUAAAUAUUCUCGGGAUUUACGAAUAAAAAGAAAAGAAAAUAAAGCUAAGAGGUCAUAACAUAUUGAUUGCCCAACGGUGUUUACAUUUUGUGUUCGGCACCAUACGGAAAAAUUAUUGUGCUAUUACUAACUACAAUAUCUUUGGUCUAUGUAGGUCUUAAACUACUUUGAUGUCUUUUUGAUAGCCCAUCAAAUAUCAUCCUAUUGAAUCUUGACCGUUAAAUAUCAAAUCAAUAUUUUAUGUAAUUCAGAUGACAUGAGUCAAAGUAGGUGAUAUUAGCUAAUUAAAGUUCAGAACACUUAUCAAUCUCUGGUCUUUAUCCCAUACGACUAAUUAUGCAAAACUAAAGUUCAUAUGAGAAAACUGACGAAUCAAUUUGUUUGCAUUGAUAGAUUACGUGUACGUCAAAUUAUAUUAAAAGGUACAAUAUUCAUGAUAACGAAGAGUUGAAAAUUUUACGUAAUUCUUCUUUCUAUAUUCAGAUACAAAUUUAGAUCAUGCGCUACUCAUUUUAUUUUUUAUAGAGAUAUUUAUAAGUGUUUGCUUGGUAGCAAAUCAUUUAUUCAUAUUUGAUGUUAAGUAGUAGCCGGUCUCGAAAUUAGGGACGCGUGUUGACACGCAGAGUUAUAAAUCUUCAAAUACACGUUAGUAUCUUGUUCUUGAAAAAAUAUAGAUAUGGAUUAUGACUAAUAGACUUAAGUAGCUUAUUAUUUAAUAUUUGCAUGACCUAUGAAGAAAAACAAUAUAUAUAAAAUAAUGUUGAAAUUUGGCACCAUAAAAACAAAUUUAACUUAAUUACCACCGAUUAUAACAUAUUGGGCCUAUUUGGGCAUGAAGUCAUUUUAAUGUUUAUUAUAGCCAAUCAGAUAUAGUUCUAAUUAUCGCUAAUUCUACAAAUUGGGCCUACUUGGGUUUAAAACCACUUUAAUGUUUAGAGAUAGCCCAUCAAACAUACCCCCUCGUUAAAUCUGGACCGUUAGAUGUAAGAUCCAACGGCCAGAAUAAUUGAGGUGAUGUGGAUCAACGUGGAGACUCCCCUCGGUACCCCUCAUAUUGCUUUUUGUAUAUAAUAGAUAGAUUAAUGGACCGUAGAUUAAUAUGGAUCGGUGGGAGUAGUUAAGGUGCCUCACAGACUGCCACCAGUACAAUACUCAUUUAUGAUUACCUGGGUAUAUUUUCUGAAGAUCUGAAAACAAAAUAAACUAUAACUAAUGCAGAGCUUUGAGGCAAACAAUGUUGGAGAGGCCGUCACACGGAUGAUUCCUUAUUUAGAAGAUACAACCCAAGCAAAUCAGGACAUCUACUUUGAUGGAUGGAGUGGACUCGCUGCAUCCAAGGUCCUUAGAGCUAUAGCUCAAGACCCUCCACCAUCUCUCACAAGCAAGUUUGAUAGCAUUAUCCAUGUCGACUGCUCAAGAUGGAAAAAUCGAAGAGCAGUACAAAAGGAAAUUGCACAUAAGCUAGAGCUUCAACAACAAGUAAUGGAUAUCUUUUCCAAACAAGACGAGGAUGAUGAUCUCAAUGGGGUAGAUGAAGGCCAUAGGGUGGAGAUAAGAGAUGUGGGGAGAGCCAUUCAUCAUGCCUUACAAGGACGCAGCUGUUUAGUGGUGUUCCACAAUGGGAGCAACCAGUUGGUAGACUUCAAUGAUUUCGGCAUUCCUAAAUAUACAGAUGCAUGGUCAAACCAUGUUAGUAAGGUACUGUGGACAUUCCGAGGAAGGCUCAACGUAGUUAAGGGAGAUGGGCAAACAAAACCUAAAGUAAAGUCUAUACCAAAAGAGCCCGAUGAAGAACAGUUAACAGAAGGAGUGAACAAUUCACAAAUUUAUCUCUACUCAUAUUUUGGUCCAACCAAAUCUUAUUGGAUGGAUAUGUUACAAGAAGAGGCCAAAGAAAUAGUUCAAUAUACAGAUAGCCUUGAUGCCACGGCAGAAGAAGCUACAAAGUGUUGCUUGUAUCUAUUGUCACUGGCUUGUCAGUACUGUGAAAACAUGGACUACAAUUGGGCUACCCAUGCUUCCAACUAUUGGGUUUGUGAUGGGAUUAUACAAGGAGGUCAGUCUGACAAAGCAUGGAAGGUUGCUGCUUCUCUGCAUCAACAGAUGCGACUGGAAGAUUAUUCACCUGAUAGGAAGCCCCACUUUGAUGACAAAUUGGAGGCUCCCCCGAACCGGUGGGUUUCAGAAGUCGCCAAAGGGCCCACAUAUAGUUAUGAUCGGAAUGUACAUCCAGAGUCAACAUCAUUUUUCUUGACAAGCUGGCGAGAUAGACUCGAUGAACCAUCAAACAUGUUUCAACAGUCGAAGAAUCUUUGUGUACUGAAACUAUAUCAGUGUACCUUCAGCUUUUAUUCACCUCCUUUCUCUUGCUGCCGCAGCUUAAGAUUCCUUGGUUUAGAUCACUGCAAAGAUCAGGGGCAUGAGCAGAAGCAAAAGAGGCCAGCAAUGGAGUUUUUUCAUAGCCUGUGGGUGCUGGACAUAUGCUACACAGAUUGGGGACCAGGAAUAUCCGAAGAGAUAACUGAGCAAAUGGUAUCAAACAUUAGAGAGGUACACAUAAAGAAGGGAAGGAUCUGGCGCCACAAUCUUGCAUGGCGAGAACUGAAAAACCUACACAAGCUUCUUGUAAUUGAGCCUACAAGUCCAUGGGAGACUGGCAAGAAGGACGAGUUCACAGAUAUGUUAAAGUUGGAGCUUCUUGACCUAUCUAAGAAUAGUACGAUGCAAAUUUUGCCAAGCCUAUCAGGGGCAACUGGUCUCAAGAUUCUUGUGCUCGAUGGUUGUGUUGGAUUGGAUCAUGUUGACCAUGAAGAACUUCCUCCAUUACUUGAAUCGUUCAGCCUAGAUGCAAGAGAUAAAGAAGGAGAUGUUAACAAGGAAGCUGCAAUUGCUCGCAUCUCCUUGGUCGGUUGUGCAAGAUUGGUUAACUUCAGAUUGGGUGGGUCAUUGCCAAAACUUGCAGAACUGGAUAUUUCAGCCACAGCAGUCGAAAUUCUUAACCUCCAAAAUCCGGUUGUCCAGGUCCCAAGCCUCCAACAAAUAAUUUUGCUGCGUUGUUUGCAGCUCAAAACCAUAUUGUUGCCAGGAGAGGGUUUGCCGAAGUUGGGAGUAUUUCAGAUUGAUUCGAAUAGUCCCGGACAAAUAAUUUGGCCGUGUAUGUGGGAUGAGUCAUUACUCCCUGGUACUUGCUGCACCUACACUGAUGUUGCUAUUGACAAGGUAGCUGCUGGCCAUGAGCACAACAGUUCCGUGCAGUUUCAACCAUCAGGCUGCCAUUUGGAGAUUGGUGAGGGAAUUGCCUAUAAUAAUAUGGCAAGUGCACAAGGAGUCAGCUCAGUCAUCUCUAUGCUGAACAAGGCUGGGUCAAUGCACAUGCAUGACAACUCUUCCAUCACAACUGCUAUCCCUGAACGCUUGGUGUCUGCAGGAAGGAAGAAAAUUGGUUGGUUUCACCUAAAACAGUGCCAUGUUGCAAGAUGCCCAAUGCUGCACACAAUCUUCCCCUCUCAUUACGAAUUCAAUUGCUUCCAAGAACUGGAGUCAUUUUCGGCAUCUGAUCUGCUGAUGGCCCGCUGCAUUUGGAGCAAAGGAAUGAUCAGUACCCAAGAGGACCUGGCGGCUGGUUCCUUUGUGAAUUUGCGGAGCAUACAACUGCAGUCCUGCCCAAGGCUCACGUUUGUCCUCCCACUGUGGUCAUUCACCUUGCCCAACUUGGAGACCCUCAAGAUUGCGUAUUGUUAUGAUCUAAAGUAUGUAUUCCCGGUGGACCUAGCAGGUAUUGCUGCCAGCCAUGGAAAACGUGUGCUGUUCCAAAAUCUGAAGAGCAUCCACCUGCAGGAGCUCCCCAAGCUGCAAAAGAUAUGUGAGGCCCAGAUGAUUGCUCCCAACCUUGAGACCGUCAAGCUCAGGGGCUGCUGGAGCCUCAGGUGCCUCCCGGCCACUGCCAUCCCACAUGGAGACAGCCGCCCUGUUGUGGACUGCGAGAAGGACUUGUGGGAGAAGCUAGAGUGGGACGGGUUGGAGGCCGGCCACCACCACUCUCUCUUUGUGCCACGCCACUCGUUAUAUUACAAGCAGGUCUUGCCUAGAGUCUCCGUCCUCCGGUGAACUGGCCUGACUUGAUGAGGUACGUAUUCUUCCAAUUUUCUCUUGUUUCAUGUAUGCAUCAUAUAUACAGGGUCUCUAUCUGCUAUGUGCAUCUUUGUUGUCAUUAAAAAUACGAAUAGGGUUGAUCUCCUCAUUCAGGCAUUCAGUUUUUUAUUCUGCUCACGUUUGUCAGUUUUUUAUUCUGUAGGUUUGCUGAUGGCAAGAAGUCGUUGUAUCUCUGUUUUCUACCGCGGCUGUUGCUGACCAAAGUUGAUGGUGUGUUUAUUGAUGUGUUCGGAUGAUGGCUUGGUCUGGUUUGUGUCCAAAUAAUAGGGGCCGAUGUGUCUAGGGUGUGCAUAUCACAGUAAUGGAACCCUGUGUCAGAUUGUUGCUUGCAGAAAAUUGAAGUUUAAUGUUUGUAUCAUUGUAUCAUUGUUUGUACUCCCUCCGUCGCGAACUAAGGGAGUAUCAUUGUGUAGCAGCAUGUUAAUGCUGGCUGAGGAUGGCGUGAUAUGAUCGAAAUGUAUUGUUGACUUUUUCGAUCAAAUAUUCUGGUAAUUUUUCCUUAGUAUACUAUGCAGUUUAUGUUUUUUUCUAGUAACAACUAUGCAGUUUAUGUGUGCAUUCCUCCCCAAUUUUUAUUUUUAUUUUUGACGAAAAGCAGUAGGAUAUGCUUGUUCAUUAUAUUGCAGUUAGGCCGUACGAUACAUUUCCAUCUUCAUCAUAAGAUCAUACGAAAAGCAGUAGGAUAUGCUUGUUCAUCGUAUGAAGCAAACCUACAGAACCGCACACAUUGCUCGGGUUAACCUAGGUAAUAACCGAACCGACGGUGCAUAAACAAGUCACUAAAUGGGGCAAUUUGCGUCAGAAGUUUGCUUAAAUGGAAUAAAUUUAUAGAAAUUCCGCUAGGCAUGCACAAAUUAUACUUCCUCCGUCCAACAAAGGAUGUCUAAAUUUUGACUAAAUUUGAAUGCAUCUAUACACUAAGUCAUGUCUAGAUACAUCCAAAUUUUGACAAACUUGAGACAUUUUUUGUUGGACGGAGGAAGUAGAAAUUCAUAGAUUCCGUGUCAAAAGGUGAAAGUAAACGGUCUGUUUGAUAGGCAUGCAUGCACCUUUCAGUCCGGAGCAUCUCAUAUCAAAUGGUUCCACUGUCUGAAACUAAGCCAAGCAUGAUCGAUAUCUGCAGAUAAGUGCUUACAGAGUAGGUGCAUGGACCAUCACUAUUCACAAACCGGCCAAUGUGGGUGCAAGAAAGUCAAUGAGCUAAUACUAGUGCAAGAAAGUAAAUGGGGCUUAAUUUAUUUGAUGAUAACUUUGUACUGUAAAAUUUACUCCGUCAACACUCUGCAACUUCCCCUCAAUGUAGUCUGUUUAGAUUUUCGGAUUUUCCUCCUGUGGCUGCCGAAAGACCAAGCGUUACUCCAAUAACCUGGCCUAGCAUUUCGAAAACGGACAAUGUUUCUGGUUUUCCAAAAGACUGCUGCUGCACCUAAACAAAGCAGUUUUCUUUUCCUUGCUAGUAUUACAACUCUAACUCAAUGCUUAAUUGGAGAGGCUGAUCCCCACACCACUAGUCCUCCCAAAAUCCAGUACUCCUACUUACAAUGCCAAAAUGCGGAUGUAUCUAUGUGUAAAAAGCGUUUAGAUACAUGUAAUAUUUCGACAAGUAAUUCCGGCCGGAGAGAGCGGUAACAUUGCCAUUACAAACGGACGCAGUUUGUACUAUUCAUUUUCGGACAGGAAACAGUCCAGCCCAAAAGUGAUAGUGGAAUUCUUUUGAGUACAUAACAGCCCCAGUCCAGCCCAAUUCAUUUUCCAACAAACACUUAGCUGACGAGAUGCACUCACGUAACGUUCAGAUUUCAGACAGGCAUGAAUGCAUAACAUUUCCACCGGCACUUUUCAGUCCAGAGGAUCAACGAGCUACCAUCUAGCAGAUUGAAGACAAGACAACUAAUUCAUAUUGCUUAGUUUGUUCCAUGACAGAUUUCUGUGGUAUAGUGGUAUCCCAGAACGAUGUUUUCGGGCACCAUGCGAAGAUCCCGUCACUGUCAGAGUUCAGACUGUCGCGGGUUUUGGACUUUGGAAACUGCAGCCAUUUGAAAGACGAUCAACCAUUUGGACUUUGAUUAUUGCUGAUACCACAAAGAGGGAUAUGAACGGCCAGGCUAACCAUCUUCCUCUUAAGACAAUUCAAUUCAGGGUACACAAUUGACAUGGUGUGUAUCUGCUUCGGAAAUGGAUGCUAUUUUUUUAAUAAGUUAUCCUGUGUUCAGAUUCAAGCAGAGUAGUAGACUUUUGGCCUCUGAAUCAAAGCAUUUUCCUCUUAAGGCGAAGCGAAUAACGCCUCUAAAUUUCAGCCAAAUACCAUAUUCCUCAAAAUUCAAUGGUUCAGAGUUCUUUCAGUAUACACUUGAUGGAUUGCUCUAGCGAUGAAAAGCAUGCAUGUGUUUACUGGUACUAGUCGUACACAUACUCCUACUUGACAGUUAUCUCCUGUAGCUGAAUAACGUAACUUGAGACAAUCACCACAAGUACGCUGUAACUGAUCGUUUGCACACUACAAAUGUGACAAGAAAAACAUAUAGGCACUUUCCAGUUUCAGGGUUGACGUUUGAAGACAAGAAAACAUACAUGAAUGAUUGGAUAUCAGACAACCUCAAGCAAACAAAGAUCUAACAAGACAAGGUGAAAUGUUUAAAGACAAACAAAAGAGGACUCAAUCACCAUUAAGGUGAUGCGAUCCUUUAUCUUACAGUUCGGUGAAAUCCACUUUCCUCGGAAUAGUGGAGUGAGUAAAGGUGGGACGGUUGGGAUGGGCCUCCAUCGCUCUCUCGAAGGCAGCCUCAAAAUCAUCGUUUGGGUCAAUUUGACCCCACAGCCGACUAAUGUGGAGGUGGCGUAGGCCAGGCAGGCCUCUCAAGAUCUUCAGGUCUUCCUCCCCGACACGAUCCAUUGGGAUGCGCAGUUUCUCAAGGUUGACUAGUGAGGACAUCCAUGUUGGAACACCCCAGAGUCGCUUGGCAACAAUGACAAACUCCUGAAGGCCGUAUGCAGAUGGAGGAUCAGAUUCGGGAAACCAAUCCUCCUUCAAUAUCUCGUCUGCUGGCCCGUUGAUGCGAAUUUUCAAAGACUGGAGGCCUGCUUUGCUUAGCUCGGCAAUGGAAGAGACCACCUUCGCUGGCUUCACCGCCCAGUCUUUAUAUUUGAGACCAACGGAGUCGAAUAUUAAGCUCAGCUUCCUUAGGUUUUUCAGCUGGCCAAGCCCCACGAGAAACUCAGUUGACUUUCUAUAAACAUCGAGACGGCCGAGCACUUGUAAUCCUUGCAUGUCUAAGACUUCAUCUGGCACUUCAGCGUCACGAAUGGACAACCAUUCAAGCUGCCAGAUAGUGGAUGGAAUUUCUAUUAUUUUGUUGUAAUCCCGUAUGUCAAUCCCCAACUGUGGUAGCCUUGCUACUUGUUCCGGAAGCUUUGUCAGGCCAUCACCUGCAUAGUUGAACCUCAGGUACUUGAGGUGCAACAAAU
rnacentral:lncRNA from 1 species